AAUCUCAAGCUUCUAGAAAUCUGGCACAGAGUAUUCACCAAAGAACUGAAUACUCCUUUGCAGUCAGACCAUGUGUUCCAGACAACAUAACUAGAAAGAUGUGAGAAGGCACUUCACAUGGGAGAUAAGCCUUGUUUUACUUAAUCCACUGGGAUGUCAGAGUUAAUUGUUACAGCAGCAGCCUGUUGUAUAGGCUGACUAACACAUGGUAACAAAGAGAACACUUUGGAUUCUUGACAAAAUAAGAUCAAGAAAGCAGCAGCAGAAGCAGAAUUCAGAGGUGUGAGAAACCAAAGGCAACAGAGCAAGAUCUACUCUCUACACAUUGACAUCCUGCUGUCUCUCAGGGAGAGUAACCCACAUGAACCAUACCAGUGGUUCCCAUCCAGGACAGUUCCCACUCACCUCCCCAGGGACACUUGGAAAUAUCUAGAGACAUUUUUGCAUAUCACAAAAUGCAAAACAAAAAAAAAUGUACCCUGCAAAGCCACAAGAGCAGAGCAGACCAA
rnacentral:lncRNA from 1 species